rnacentral:rRNA from 1 species
AAGUGAUGUUGGGGACUCAGGAUGGAACUGCCGGUGACAAACGGAGGAAGGUGGGGACGACGUCAAGUCAUCAUGGCCCUUAUGUCCUGGGCUACACACGUGCUACAAUGGCCGGUACAGAGCGCGAGCUAGGCCGCGAGGCGGAGCGAAUCGCGAAAAGCCGGUCUCAGUACGGAUUGGAGUCUGAAACCCGACUCCAUGAAGUUGGAAUCGCUAGUAAUCGCGCAUCAGCAUGGCGCGGUGAAUACGUUCCCGGGCCUU